UACGUAGGGUGCAAGCGUUAAUCGGAAUUACUGGGCGUAAAGCGUGCGCAGGCGGUUGUGUAAGUCAGAUGUGAAAUCCCCGGGCUCAACCUGGGAAUGGCAUUUGAGACUGCACAGCUAGAGUGUGUCAGAGGGGGGUAGAAUUCCACGUGUAGCAGUGAAAUGCGUAGAGAUGUGGAGGAAUACCGAUGGCGAAGGCAGCCCCCUGGGAUAACACUGACGCUCAUGCACGAAAGCGUGGGGAGC
rnacentral:rRNA from 1 species